rnacentral:lncRNA from 1 species
GAUGUUGGUAAGCAUAGAAUUAAUACCACAGUGUUCUUUUCAUCUUAUCGCUUCCCAGCUGUCUGAAUAUUUUCCUGGCCCCUUCAUAUUUUUCCUACAUCAUGCCAGCAAGAAAUAUGCCCAAUUUCUUCAUAAACCAUGACUCUGAUAUUGUUUUUUUUGCAGGUGCAAAUAAUUUAAUACCAAUUGAAAUAGCCCUCAAAAUUGCUAACAAGAUUUAUGCAAACGAGAGAUUUUCGGCGUAUAUAAUAAUUCCAAUGUGGCCUGAGGGCAACCCUACUGGUGCUCCUACACAGAGAAUUCUGUAUUGGCAGGUUAGGUUCUUCAUCUCUCUGAGUGCCUCUAAUCUUCUUUAUUUACUAUACUUCCCUCUAAGUGUAGCAACUUCCAAUGGUGUAAUCCAAUUCAUAUGUCUCGUUUUGUUCAUUGUAGAAAAAAACAAUGCAAAUGAUGUAUGAGAUAAUCUAUGGGGCUCUGAAAGAAGUAGGCCUGGAUGGUAAAUAUGAGCCACAGGAUUACCUCAACUUCUUCUGCCUCGGCAACCGCGAAGCCGAGGAAACUCCUGGCACAUCCAGCGGACCAUUUUCAGCCAGCAAUCCUCAGGCAAGACUGCAAUCCAUGGCACAAUCAAUCAUGUUUCAUCCUGCAGCAAGCUGCUGGUCUUAAUUUCUGAAAAAAAAUACGCUCAACUCAUACUUGAUUUUUGUUUCAACACAUGUGGCUUUCAGGAUCAAUCGAGGAAGAACAGGAGAUUCAUGGUGUACGUGCA